rnacentral:lncRNA from 1 species
AGAAAAGAGAAGAUGAUAAGAGAAUAGAUGAGAAGAUGGAACACAUCCCGUAGUUUUCACAUUCUCCACUUGAAGAUCCAAAGCCAGGCAGACAGUGGUGCUAGCUAGGCAUGGCUGAACCUCUUUCAUCCCAUUCAGUCUGUUUGUUUCAUAGACCGAGUGCAGCAGCAACCCUUCACCAGCUAUACAGACAGACAUGGACUGACCCUUAUCUCUGGCCCUUUCUAGGACCUGAGCCCUAGGACCAUGCCUCAGGACUACCUGGUAUGAUGACUCCUUGCUGUCCCCAGUCCACCUGGCCGUGCUGCUGCUCCAGUUUCAACUGUUCUGCCUGCGGCUAUGGAACCCUGACCUGUUCACCGGACGUGCUUGUUGCACCCUCGACAACUACUAUGAUUAUUAUUAUUUGACCAUGCUGGUCAUUUAUGAACAUUUUAACAUUUUAACAUCUUGACCAUGUUCUGUUAUAAUAUCCACCCUGCACAGCCAGAAGAGGACUGGCCACCCCUCAUAGCCUGGUUCCUCUCUAGGUUUCUUCAUAGGUUUUUGGCCUUUCUAGGGAGUUUUUCCUAGGGAGUUUUUCCUAGCCACCGUGCUUCUUUCACAUGCUUUGCUUGCUGUUUGGGGUUUUAGGCUGGGUUUCUGUACAGCACUUUGAGAAUAUCAGCUGAUGUACGAAGGGCUAUAUAAAAAUAAAUUUGAUUUGAUUUGAUUUGUCGUAGGAGGUUCGAAGGCAUGUCUGAGGCUUUCUGUGAUAAAAGGAAGAGCGGAAAGGCCCUGGAUGGCAGGUACUGUAGCUUGGC